UAGGUAAGACUCUGAUGACCUUCUCAACCC
rnacentral:piRNA from 1 species